rnacentral:lncRNA from 1 species
CCUAUGAUGAUGAAAGAAAACUCAUAAUUCCAUUAAACAGCACAGUUCAAGAAAGGCCACCAAUGCCGGUAAUCACCUACUUCAGUUUCAACUUGCCCCUGGAAUUUUAUGUUCAUGGUCUGUAACUUAAUCAUGUUUCUCCUAUAAAUUGGACAAUAGGUCAGAAAUGAACUCAGUGGAAAAAUGCCGAGCAUCAAACCAACUGUAAGGGGCACUUGAAACUAUAAAAAAACCAAUCAUAUUCCAUGACCAGGCAGCCAUAUGACAUUUUUCUUACCUUCCGUUGUACAGGCACUUAGGUUUUAUGGGAGUUUUAACGUGACAGUCACGGGCAUAACAAUUCAAAACAGUCCUCAAUGCCAUCUCAAGUUCGAUAAUUGCAUGGGAGUUGUGGUGCACGAUAUUACCGUCUCAUCUCCUGGGGACAGUCCUAAUACAGAUGGAAUUCACCUACAGAACUCCAAUGAUGUGCUAAUUCAUAGCAGUGAUCUCGCCUGUGGUAAUUAUUUAAAUUAUCUUGCUUGUAAAUAAGUAUUGUUGCCAUACCGCAUUCAGUUAAACAAUGGUCAGCCAUACGCUGAGCUCCAGCAAUGAAUGGAGUAAGACCUGCAGGUCAACAUUUAAGGAUAAAGGGUUAAGAUAAGACCUUGUGAACAUCUGACAGUAUCAUAGAAAAGGUGCUGAAUGAGGUAGUUCUGAUAGGAUACUGAAAGACACGUUUCACAAUCUUAUCCUGCUAAUGCUUUCAUUCCACACAUUCUCCAUCACCCAUAAUAUUUUGACAAGUAGAUGCCUGCAAUAUCCAAACUUCAAGAGUUACAGUCACUGGUCACUUGACAUGUGUCAUAUUCAGAAGAAUGGUGUGGCAUCAACCACCCAAAAUAGGAUUAGAGUUGAACAACACAGAGCAAAGCAUACAAUUUUUGUUUUAUUCACUCAAGUUUUGAUUUGCCUGUCUCCACUUACAGCUCGAACUUUUUGUUUUAAUCCCCUAGCCUCUUGUCCACUUUUUCUUAAAAACAGGCUCAUGUUCUAAUUAAUUAAUAAGAUAAUAAUAGGCCCUCAGGAAUCUAAUGCUUCCGAAAAAUGCUUAAAUUGAAUCAGCUCUAAGCACAGGGAUAAUUGACUAGUACAUAAAGACAUCUAUUUUUGUGUUUAUACUAACCUGAGCUCUUAAAAAUCUAUGAAUUGGUGCAGGAGAUGACUGUGUUUCCAUACAAACAGGAUGCUCAAAUGUAUACAUACACAAUGUGAACUGUGGACCAGGGCAUGGAAUAAGCAUUGGAAGCUUAGGAAGGGAUAAUACUAAAGCCUGUGUCUCAAACAUCACUGUCAGGGAUAUCGUUAUGCAUAACACAAUGAAUGGUGUCAGAAUUAAGACAUGGCAGGUAACUAUACAAACAUUGUCACUCCCCCCCCCCCCCCCAAAUGAUUAAAAACUCAUCAAGUUUAAAACAUAGCAAUUAGCUAAACUGGCUUUUAAUUAAAUACAAAAUGCAUCUAAAACUUCGUAGUUCAACCGUAAUUUAUAACAAGACUAACUUCAGGGAAUAUAUUUCAAGUUGCUUGCAUACUCAAGUUCAUGUGUGGUGAAAAACUAUACAUAUAUGAAAAACUUGUGUUCUUUUUGAAAUAUUACCUACACCUUUAUAUCUUAUUUCUUUUCUUUAAUAGGUCCAAAAAUCUUAUCUAUUACCACUUACUAGUGAUAAAAAAAAAAAGUUAGUGCAAGUUCCUAUCAUUCUAAGUUCUUUUACAACUCUAGGUUGCUAGUCAGUUUUCUUACAUAUAAUCUCAAAUCACUUCUACAGGGUGGAUCGGGAUCUGUUCAGGGGGUUCUGUUCUCAAACAUUCAAGUUUCCGAGGUCCAACUUCCAAUUGUGAUCGAUCAGUUCUACUGCGACAAAAGGAAAUGUUCGAACGAAACAGCUGCAGUCGCUCUAUCAGGAAUCACCUAUGAAAAAAUAAGAGGAACAUACACAGUAAAACCUGUCCACUUCGCCUGCAGCGAUAGCCUUCCAUGUAUAGGUGUAACCUUAUCUGCCAUUGAACUAAAACCAGUCCAGGAACGUUACCACCUCUACGAUCCAUUCUGUUGGCAAACUUUCGGAGAGUUGACCACCCCUACUGUUCCCCCAAUCAGUUGUUUACAGAUUGGGAAGCCAAAAAAUAACAGAGUCCAAUCUGAUCAUGAUGUGUGCUGAGCAUUAGUGUAGGUAAUUCAUGUGGUGCAUUCGCAUCUGUGGUCGGCAGUGAUCUCCUGACCCCUCACACCAUUCGUUUGUUAAGUGUAGAGUGUAUAUUUAUUUAGGCCUCAUCCUAGCUUAUAGGCAUUCUUCUUUGAAUGGGAUCACACCGGUUCCUAGUUUCCACUAUGAGAGAUUAUACAAGCAUGUUAUCAGGUAGAGUCCAAUACUGGAGUACAAGACUGUCUUGUUCAUUAAGGCAGAUUAUUUGAUUGUGAGAUAUUUAUACAAAUGCAUUAUCCACCAGAUGUUCAUCAAUAUAUAUAGACGUAUUGUUCCUUGAAUUUAACCCACUUGAAAGACUGUAUUUCACAAGCAUAAGGUUAAACGAAAUUGAGCAUGCACAAACUGUCCAUGUCUAUCUAAGAAAGCAAACAAGUAAGAUCAGACAUUGACAAAGAACCACCCAAGAAGCAGGUAUUAAGCUCAAAUGACAAUAUUAUGUUCUAAGAAACAGAUUAUAUAUCAAAAGGAACAAGCUAAGACAAAGAAUAAAUAUCAAUAUAAACCGAAGAUAACCAUGAACUGCAAUCGUAGAUGACAUGGUUUGUUUUCUGAAUCUAAUAACUCAUGAAUUAUAUUCACAUUUAAACAAACAAUUCAACUAUAAUUCAAGCCGUUAACCUAAAAAAAUCAAACAAGUAGAGUAAGUAGGGUGCCAACAGAUUGAUCGAUAAGAAGAUCGGGUGUCGUCUCCCACCUUAUAUCUCUCUGGAUUUUCCUUCGAAUCCAUAGAUUCUUCUCCCCGAUUCUGCAAAUAAAAGCAUUAGCAGAGAUCUAACUGAAAAUCACUGUCGUUCUUACAUCAGACCGGUUCAGUAAAAAGUAAACAAUUGCAAGCUUAUCGAAAACUCGAUAACAAAAUAAUUAAG